rnacentral:rRNA from 1 species
GGCUUGCAACCCCCGAAGCUUUGUGAUACCUUUCUAAAAGUCGAGUUGUUUGGGAAUGCCCCUCAAAGUGGGUGGUAAAUGCCCUCUAAGGCGAAAUAUUGAGGAAAAACCCAAAACGAACAAGUACAUUGAUGGAAAGAUGAAAAGAACUUUGAAAAAAGAGUUAAUCACUACGUGUAAUUGCCAAAAGGGAAGGAUAGGAGGUAAUAGAUGCGGCCUGGGAAUCAGGAUUGCUUUUGCUUGCGGUAUUUCCCCCCUUUCAGGCCCACCUCUGUUUUGGGCACAGGAAAAGGGUAAAAGGGACCUUGCACCUCCCAGUGUGGGUUAUAGGCUCGCUACUGGAUACCGUCACCGAUACCAACAACAGCCUCCCUACUACGAUCGACCGGGCCCUCCUCGCACCUAUUCCCUUAGGAU